rnacentral:lncRNA from 1 species
CCAAGUGCCAAGUGGCAAGGUGCAAAUUAGCCAUCAAGUCACCAACUGCACGAGCCCAUUCUUCUCAACUUGCCCCUCAGUUCUUCAUGCUGUCUUCUUAUUUCCACUCUACUAAUCGUACUACUGGGUCCAGAGCCAUCUGGUUUGUCUAAUUCUUGAGUUUUCAUUUAUUUAUUUUGAGACAGGACCUCAUUCUGUCACCCAGGCUGGAGUGCAGUGGCACCAUCAUGGCUCACUGCAGCCUUGGCCUCCCAGGCUCAAGCAAUCCUUUAGCCUCCGCCUCCCGAGUAGCUGGGACUACAGGUGCGGGCUACCAUGCCUAGCUAAUGUUUUAAUUUUGUAGAGAUGGGUUUCACCAUGUUGCGCAGGCUGGUCUGGGCUCAAGCAGUCCUCCUGUCUCAGCCUCCCAAAGUGCUAGGUUUACAGGUGUAAGCCACUGCACCUGGCUCUCGAGUGUUUUUAGUGAAGAGUUUUUGCACCUGGCUGCAAACACUUGCUCUGUGCACUGUGCUUUCUUUUCAUGUGGCUGUUUGUGCUCCGUUCUCUGGCUCUGGUCUCCAGUACUCCAGGUAAGCAGGACCACAUAGCUGCAGUAUUGGCUGGUAAUGACACCACUCAGUGAAUCUGGUGGGGGAAUCUGAAAUACUCAACCGCUCGCUCAUACAGGUGGCUAUUAGGUCUUAACGCACUUCAGAAAUACAGGGUUCAAUGAUCAUUACAAAGCACUACACUUACUUUCCCAAACCCCCGCCUGUGGGCCCCAGGUGCAAGUGUGGGAAACGCCCUUUCGAAGGCUAAGAGGGAGCUCACGCUCCCCCUAGUGCCCAUUCACUCCGCGUUACAGAAAAAUGAAAUUCAGUUCAUUUCCUGGAUCCAUUCAUCCAGUCAUUCAGUAAAUAUUUAUUGAACACCCCAGGCGCUGUUCCGGGUUUUUUUGUUUUUUGUUUUUUGUUGUUGUUGUUGUUUUUGAGACGGAGUAUUGCUCUGUUGUCCAGGCUGGAGUGCAGUGGUGCGAUCUCGGCUCACUGCAACCUCCGCCUCCUGGGUUCAAGCAAUUCUCCUGCUUCAGCCUUCCGAGUAGCUGGGAUUACAGGUGCCCGCCACCACGCCCGGCUAAUUUUUGUAUUUUUAGUAGAGACGGGGUUUCACCAUGUUGGUCAGGCUGGUCUCGAACUCCUGACCUCAGGCCCUCGGCGUCCCAAAGUGUUGGGAUUAUAGGCAUGGACCACCACGCCCGGCCUGUUCAAGGUUCUUAAGGUUCAUGACUUGACUGACUGGUCAUUUAUACCCUAUUCUACAUCUAACAAAAAUAUGAUGCAGCUUACAAUAAAAGCUUAUAGAAGACAGCUAAAAUAAAGUCAGAGAGACAUCAGCAGCCAGUGAAAAAGGACUGAUAAUUCUACUAAGAACAGGAAGUAAAACAGUGACCACUUCAACCUUAAAUGUAUUUCUGACCUUCCUGGUAGCCAAGGCAAAGCAAAACAAAACGAAAUGAAAAGUCAAGAUGCUGUCUAUAGCUUUAAUACACUGAAAGAAAUACAGAAAGACAUCCUCAAAAUGCAAACGACUAAGACAAUUGCCCAGGUGCAGUGGCUCACGCUUGUAAUCCCAGCACUCUGGGAGGCCGAGGCGGGCGGAUCAACUGAGGUCAGGAGUUGGAGACCAGCCUGACCAACAUGGUGAAACCCUGUCUCUACUAAAAAUACAAAAUUAGCCAGGAUUGGUGGGACAUGCCUGUAAUCUCAGCUACUCGGGAGGCUGAGGCAGGGGAAUCACUUGAACCCGGGAGGCAGAGGUUGCAGUGAGCCAAGAUCGCACCAUCGCACUCCAGCCUGGGCAACAAGAGUGAAACUCCGUCUCAAGAAGAAAAAAAAGAAAAGACUAAGACGAUCAACUCCCUAGACAGACAGCUCCUUCUGGCUUGGCAGAAGAUGUGCAAAACUGUACUUUCUGUAUCACUAUAUUGACCUCAAAUUAAAGCCAAGGAUAUAACACUACAUUGUAAUUCACUGGAAGUAUUUCAAAUACAGACCAAAGCAGGAAACCUUCUGGUGUUCCCAGUUGCCUGGGACUGAGCUUAGAGAACUCGAGAAAGACAUCAUGGAGGGCAACAUUGCUUAUGGUACUGGAAUCACUAUGCCAUGUAUUGAUGGCCCGCGUCUGCAGACAAUGUCCUUAAUAUGAUUUGAUGUAUGCAAACAUCUGACUAUUUCACCUUGUCUUCUCAUGCAGUUUACAUAUACAAGUACAUAUUAUCAUUCACUAUCCCUUUACUUCUUUUCUUUUGAGACAGAGUCAUAGUCUAUUUUUCCAAGACAAAGUAUGCCUAGGUGACAAUUUACUCAUUUUAAAAUUAUCUUUCAGGUUUUUUGUUUUGUUUUUUCAUAAAGUUUUUCCUAGCCAUUAACAGUUUCUCUUUUUUUCUUUUUUCUUUUUCUCUCUUUUUUUUUUUUUUUUUUUUUGAGCCAGAGUCUCGCUCUGCCACCCAGGCUGGAGUGCAAUGGUGCAAUCUCGCCUCACUACAACCUCUACCUCCCAGGUUCCAGCGAUUCUCUUGACUCAGCCUCCUGAGUAGCUGGGAUUACAGGCACGCGCCAUCACACACGGCUAAUUUUUGUAUUUUUAGUAGAGAAAGGGUUUCACCAUGUUGGCCAGACUGGUCUUGAACUCCUGACCUCAGUUGAUCUGUCCGCCUCGGCCUCCCAAAGUACUGGGAUUACAGGCAUGAGUCACCGUGCCCGGCCACUACUAAGGGUUUUUAAGGUGGCAGAUGGAGUUAAUUAGUAAACUGAAUGAGCCUAUAGUAAGUACCAGGAAGAUCAGAGAUAACUUCCAAACACCUCACAGCAUUAGCAAGAAAAAGUGAACCUUUACAGAUUUAAAUUCUGGUCACUUACACUAGCAAGAUAUGAAAAACCACAUGGAGUUACUUUACAUAGUCUUAAAAAUGGAUAAAACAAAUGUAAUUCUCUCUUGAAUGCUUUUGGUUUUGUGCCAUUUUGAAGUAGAACAUGAGGUAGUCAAGGAAUUCUGUGAAAUCUAUUAAAAUUCGCUGCAUAUUUCUCCACACUGUCCCGCCAUCACCACACAACACCAGGUUUGUGCUUCAGGCCCUUCUACAACAAUAGAGUAAGGGAGUAAGGUGGAUGAUUUUUUUUUUUUUGAGACAGAGUCUCGCUCUGUCGCCCAGGCUGGAGUGCAGUGGCACAAUCUCCACUCACUGCAAGCUCCACCUCCCGGGUUUACGCCAUUCUCCUGCCUCAGCCUCCUGAGUAGCUGGGACUACAGGCGCCUGCCACCAUGCCCGGCUAAUUUUUUGUACUUUUAGUAGAGAUGGGGUUUCACCGUGUCAGCCAGGAUGGUCUCGAUCUCCUGACCUCGUGAUCUGCCCGCCUCAGCCUCCCAAAGUGCUGGGAUUACAGGCGUGAGCCAUCGCACCCGGCCAAGGAUGACAUUUUUAACACUCACAAAGCAGGUAACAGGAAUAGUUGUCACAGGGGUCCUGAACUGGCUGCACCCACCUGCUUGCAGGCAAACGACCACAUGCAACCACCCAGAGCAGCAGUGAUGUUGCUGAAUGGACCACGAGGAAGAGGAAGACUGACAGGUGACAGGAAAGGACAGGACACCUGCCUGGCUGAGACGCCACCGCCAGGCCUGGGAGAAGAGGGGAGUUGUGUGAGGAUUGGAAAGGAGGAGAAGGCAUCUCUAGGGUGAGAGACGGCAGAUGUGACAAUACUGAGGUGGGAAUGUGUCACUCUUCCACUCUCCAGUGAAGUCACGCUGGUUUUCCCUUCCCGUAAACACAUUCUAAAGCACAGGCAUCCCAGUCGUGACCUCCCGAUCCAGUUCUCCUGACUCCUCCAUCCUCAGUUCCCACAGAAUGCUCGCCACUCCCAUACUGACCUCAUUCAAGACCAUUCCCUGACCACAUGCGCUCUGCAUUUCCACGCAUCGGCCCCACUCUUCCUUCUGCCCAAUGAGGCAAGAGAUGGGGACAGUCAUGAGACCAGGGCUGGGGGCUGGCUGUGUGGGUGAGUAGCUGCCUCUGCCACCGACUUGCUGUUGAGCUGAUGAUGGGCAAGUUACUUAAGCCCUCUGGGGCUUCAUGUCCUCAUCUACGAAGUAGACAGGUGCAGCACCCACUUCACGGCGGUGCUAUGAUGACGAAACGUGCUGAUGCAUGUGGAGACCUCUAGAGCACAGUGCUCAGCUCAUAAGUACACUCAGCUAAUGCCGGCUGACAGUCGUGGUACUAACAGUAAGAGCAGCCUCACUCUUACUAUUAGCCCUUCAAGGGCCAGAUCAAGGCUACCCAGUUCAGAAACUUUCUCCUCAUUUACAAUAAAGAUCCAUUGCUCCUUCAAAUUUAACUGCUUUCUAAUUUGUAUAUUUCGAUGGUGACCCUGAUUUCAUUCUGUCUUGAGUGUUUGCCUUCUAGGGACAAUAUCAGAUUUCAGCGAUUCCCCCAUCACCCAGCCAGGAGGCACUUGAUGUUUGGCUUGAAUUGAGAAACCUGAAGAAUAUUGCGACACGGAGAUUUACUCCGAUGUCAAACUUCCUUCCUAGGGCAGGAAGCCCAUAUUCAAGUACAGCAGGAAGUAAGGACGGGCAGGGGGCAAGUGAGUCCUCACUGCAGAAAACCUCAGUCUUCAGAAAUCCAAAAAGCAUAGAAAAAUCUGAGUCAUUUUGGAAUUUAACAGGAAUCUUUGAAAUUGUAUGUUAAUCAUCUCACGCAGGAAUUCACAAUCUCAUAGCUUGAAUACGGAAAUCUCCUAGGUCCAUUUUCCCAGGAUGACAUUUAUUCGGUCACUCCAUCAUUUGCUCAACAAGAUCUUAAAUGCUCUAUGAUGUCCCAAGCACUGAGUCAGGCACCGUCCUCACCUGCUCGGAGCUUAGAUCCAGUCUCCUAACUCCCCUGCUACAUUUUUGUAAUGGUGCCUGUCUUUGUUUUACAGCACUCCAUCGAUCAGCCUGAUUUUAUCUGGCAAUUAAAAAUGAAUAAAUCCCACACCACAGCACCACCUGGAAGGAAACAUUCUCCUACAGCCAUGUGGAGAAGCCCCCCCGACACUCAGCCAUCCUGUCUCUGUGUCACUUUUGGAGCCAGACAGUCUGGGCUCAUACCCAGCCAGGACUCAGCCACGUGCUCUCAGGCCAGCUGCUUCAUCUCUGGGAGACUGGCCUUCCUCCUCCGUGACAUGGAGCCAUCCCUGCUUCACAGGGCUGUUUGGGGAACUCACUGAGUCAUCCAGGCACAGCCCUAGAGCAACAGCCAGAACAAAGCAAGCCCGACUCAAAAGGGUUUCUUCUACCCUUCCAUCUCCCCUUCAGGAAGGCCCAAGAGUAGGAAGUUAAGCCACUGUUCUGGGAUUGGGAGGGACGCGGGCAGCCAUGGGGAAAACUUCAAUCUAGGUGUUUCCAUUGGUCUUUAUCUGGUCAUGCUGUAUCCCAGUGGAACUUCGGCAUCCAGACAAACACAGUUUGGUUACGGCAUUGAGUGUGUCAGUUCAACACUGAUUUUAUUGGCCUCUAUGUAUCAAGCACGUGCCAGAUAUCGAGGAUCUAAAAAGAAGUGAGACUCAAUCUCUGCAUUUAAGAAGGACCCAUCCCAGCCAGAACAUGGACACACAGACAAAUAACUCAUAACAUGGUGGGAUGAGUACAAAACCCAAGGAUCAGAAGGCAAGAGUCACUCCACACAGGAGCAGAGAGGGCUGGUGGGACCAGGGAGGGCUUCCCAGGGAGAGACGUGUGGGACAGCUCCGCCAGGGGACUGAAAUAGUCAGCCAUGCACUAGGAGUUUGAAACAAUGCCUGCUUGCUUUCCUCAGCCUAACAGCAAAUCUUGACUUUGGCUUCUAAAUCUGGUGAAAGGGGAAAAGUACAAGAAAAGUAAAACCAAUGAAGAAAAGAGAUGAGGAGGAUGGGAAAGGGACACAUUGUUUAUUCUUAGGGGCCCCUAUUUCUUUCAUCCAAUCAUCUAUUGUCUCUGAGCAGUCAGUCAUCAGAUCAAAGGAAAUAAAUGUUCAGCCCUCCCUGGUACGGGGGAAACGUCACCAGAGUGGAAAUGCAGAGAUCUGCGGUAGCAUGAGUGCGUGUGAAUGUGACUGUCAUCACCACACACGCUUUCAAGGGAAGACUACAGAACGUUCUCAAAGCCCACAAGCCACAGCCCUGCAGGUCAUUUCAAGCGGGCGGCAGCUCGCUCCUGUAUUGUUUACCACAGCUAUUUCCUUGAGAAGUUUCACAGCUUCAGCGUGCAGCCACCAUGCUUUCUGCCUCGUACACAGGGGAAAAGUUGAGUGACUGCAUUGUCCUUGAAAUUUUACCUGAAAACCUCAUGACUUUUUUGCUUGCAUAGAUUCUUUUUUUUUUUCUCUGAGACGGAGUUCGCUCUUGUUGCCCAGGCGGGAAUGCAAUGGCGCGAUCUUGGCUCACCACAACCUCCGCCUCCCAGGUUCAUGAAAUUCUCCUGCCUCAACCUCCCGAGUAGCUGACAUUACAGGCAUGCACCACCAUCCUCCGCUAAUUUUGUAUUUUUAGUAGAGACAGGGUUUCUUCAUGUUGGUCAGGCUGGUCUCAAACUCCCAACCUCAGGUGAUCUGCCCACCGUGGCCUCCCAAAGUGCUGGGAUUACAGGUGUGAGCCACUGCGACCGGCCUGCUUGCAUAGAUUCUUUACGGAAGCUGAUUACAGCCACAAAGGAAGGUGAUGAAUAAAGAACAGCUCUCAGCUCAGUUCCCUAUUCAUAGGCUUAAAAGACUCAUUUUUGCAACAAUGAGACAGCACGCAUGCAUAUCCAUCAGAAAGUCUGACACAGAAAUGAAGAUGUGCGUUUAUACAUUUUCUGUCUAUCUUGUUACUCAUUCAGAGGUGGGUUUUCUGGGAAGCGAAUGACACCUCAACUUCAGAAUCCUUUAUUUGCACGGCCCUGUCCAAGGCCCUAGAUGCCCUGUACCUGGUUCCCUCUUUGUUUUCCCAAAGUCUCCACAAGUUGUACAAGUUUCAGGUCCCUCAGAUAUCUCUACUUCACAUUAGAAGACUCGGCUGGGUGCGGUGGCUCACGCCUGUAAUCCCAGCACUUUGGGAA